CUCAUUUUGCAAGCAUUUUCACUUAAUGAGUGGGCUUUCAAUCGCUCCUUUAAUGUGGACUGGAGAUGCACAACACUGGGGGGAGGCACUUAGAGAAUUUGUCCGUACCUACUCAAAGUGAACUUCGCAGAGCCUAGGCCUGAGCAAUUCCACUAGAAAUGGUACAGCACAAA